rnacentral:rRNA from 1 species
GCGGUGAGCCGAGUGAAAUAGAACCUGAAACCAUUUGCUUACAAUCAUUCAGAGCACUAUGUAGCAAUACAGUGUGAUGGACUGCCUUUUGCAUAAUGAGCCUGCGAGUUGUGGUGUCUGGCAAGGUUAAGCUAACGCGAAGCCGUAGCGAAAGCGAGUCUGAAUAGGGCGCUAAGUCAGAUGCUGCAGACCCGAAACGAAGUGAUCUAUCCAUGAGCAGGUUGAAGCUAGUGUAAGAACUAGUGGAGGACCGAACCCGCUAGCGUUGAAAAGCUAUGGGAUGACUUGUGGAUAGGGGUGAAAGGCCAAUCAAACUUCGUGAUAGCUGGUUCUCUCCGAAAUAUAUUUAGGUAUAGCGUUGUGUCGUAAUAUAAGGGGGUAGAGCACUGAAUGGGCUAGGGCAUACACCAAUGUACCAAACCCUAUCAAACUCCGAAUACCUUAUAUGUAAUCACAGCAGUCAGGCGGCGAGUGAUAAAAUCCGUCGUCAAGAGGGAAACAACCCAGACUAACAGCUAAGGUCCCCAAAUCUUACUUAAGUGGAAAACGAUGUGAAGUUACUUAAACAACCAGGAGGUUGGCUUAGAAGCAGCCAUCCUUUAAAGAAAGCGUAAUAGCUCACUGGUCUAGUGAUUUUGCGCGGAAAAUAUAACGGGGCUAAAGUAAGUACCGAAGCUUUAGACUUGCACACAACUUAGAUG